rnacentral:rRNA from 1 species
GAUGAACGCUGGCUACAGGCUUAGCACAUGCAAGUCGAGGGGAAACGCCGGGGAAGCUUGCUUCCCCGGGCGUCGACCGGCGCACGGGUGAGUAACGCGUAUCCAACCUGCCUCUGACUGAGGGCUAACCCGUCGCAAGUCUGCCUAAUACCUCAUGGCAUCGUCUGCGGGCAUCCAACGACGAUUAAAGAUUUCAUCGGUCAGAGAUGGGGAUGCGUCUGAUUAGCUUGUUGGCGGGGUAACGGCCCACCAAGGCGACGAUCAGUAGGGGUUCGGAGAGGAAGCUCCCCCGCAUUGGAGAUGCGAUACGGACCACACUCCUACGGGAGGGAGCAGUGAGGAAUACUGGUCAAUGGGGGAGAGCCUGAAACAGCCAAGUAGGGUGCAGAAUGACGGCCCUAUGGGUUGUAAGCUGCUUUUAUGCGGGGAUAAUGUGAGGGACGUGUCCUUUAUUGCAGGUACCGCAUGAAUAAGGACCGGCUAAUUCCGUG